rnacentral:rRNA from 1 species
GAUGAACGCUGGCGGCGUGCCUAAUACGUGCAAGUAGAACGCUGAAGCUUGGUGCUUGCACCGAGCGGAUGAGUUGCGAACGGGUGAGUAACGCGUAGGUAACCUGCCUCUUAGCGGGGGAUAACUAUUGGAAACGAUAGCUAAUACCGCAUAAAAGUCGAUAUCGCAUGAUAUUGAUUUGAAAGGUGCAAAUGCAUCACUAAGAGAUGGACCUGCGUUGUAUUAGCUAGUUGGUGAGGUAACGGCUCACCAAGGCGACGAUACAUAGCCGACCUGAGAGGGUGAUCGGCCACACUGGGACUGAGACACGGCCCAGACUCCUACGGGAGGCAGCAGUAGGGAAUCUUCGGCAAUGGGGGCAACCCUGACCGAGCAACGCCGCGUGAGUGAAGAAGGUUUUCGGACCGUAAAGCUCUGUUGUAAGAGAAGAACGAGUGUGAGAGUGGAAAGUUCACACUGUGACGGUAACUUACCAGAAAGGGACGGCUAACUACGUG